GGUCCAAGUAAUUUAUCCUAAGUUCAACAAGGUCAAACUAAGUUUGACAAAAAAAUUCAGCAUUUUUUAAAAGUCGGAAACUAUUUUUAACCAAUUAAAAAUGAAUAAAAAUAACCUAAUUGAACUAAAAUCUCAAAUAAAUCUCAAAUCAAUUUAAAAAUUGAUGAGAAUAUUUUUCAUAGAUCCAUCAUCAUUCAAAUAGGUUAGGAAAAUAUUUUUGUAUUUUUUGAAUAUCAAAAACUAUUUAAAAUGAAUUAAAAAUAACCAGAAAAGAGAA
rnacentral:lncRNA from 1 species